AACGCCUAGGGUUCUGUUGCCUACGUAUUGACUUAUUGAGGUGGCGUUCUUUUGUGACAUGUCGAAACCUGCGCUGUUCUGAUGUUGGAAUCCAUGAAGAGUUGAGGGAUUUUUUAGCAACUCAAGCAUUUUCUCUUGUAAAUUAACACUAAUUAACUUGUAAAUUUAUUUUUUAUGUUACAGUGAUUCUUCAUCGGACCAAGGCCGAUUUGUCCAGGACCAAUUUUCGGAUCUCCUGGGCUUCCUGGAACAAGGACUAGUGAUUAUUUCGAGGAGCUGUCAUGGUGUUGGCUCUUGAUAUUUUAUCGUGAAACGCAGAUUUAAUGAUGAAGGCGCGUCGGAACCCAAACGUCAAGAAUCGCCGACGUUCACAGAAGCAGCUACAAUGAGCGGAGAAUCUGAGAGCCAGGAAUGCGGAGCACCUUGCUACUACUAAAAUGGAGAACCCGGACCUGUUAGCGACAUGGAACUGACCAGGACCGUCGUGGGCUCCUCAUGUGCCACCCCG
rnacentral:lncRNA from 1 species